rnacentral:rRNA from 1 species
GAUGAACGCUGGCGGCGUGCCUAAUACAUGCAAGUCGAGCGAACAGAUGAGGAGCUUGCUCCUCUGACGUUAGCGGCGGACGGGUGAGUAACACGUGGAUAACCUACCUAUAAGACUGGGAUAACUUCGGGAAACCGGAGCUAAUACCGGAUAAUAUAUUGAACCGCAUGGUUCAAUAGUGAAAGACGGUUUUGCGGUCACUUAUAGAUGGAUCCGCGCCGCAUUAUCUGGUUGGUAAGGUAACGGCUUACCAAGGCAACGAUGCGUAGCCGACCUGAGAGGGUGGUCGGCCGCCGUGGAACUGAACCACGGUCCAGACUCCUACGGGAGGCAGCAGUAGGGAAUCUUACGCAAUGGGCGAAAGCCUGACGGAGCAACGCCGCGUGAGUGAUGAAGGUCUUCGGAUCGUAAAACUCUGUUAUUAGGGAAGAACAAAUGUGUAAGUAACUAUGCACGUCUUGACGGUACCUAAUCAGAAAGCCCCGGCUAACUACGUG